ensembl:lncRNA
AUCUGUAGAGAAAGACCUGAGGCAGGAAAUAGGGUUGCUCACCUUGGCCUGAACUUGGCCUUUGCUCAUUUAUCUCAUGGGACUUGAUCAUACCUAUUCCAGCCUCUUCCUUCUCUGCCACCACCAAGGGCAGUGGUCCCGACCUCAGGAACUCAGCUCUCUUUCUUCUUGUGCUCCCUGCCCUUUAUGCUAAGGCUCAAGGCAACAAGUCAAGUCGGUGGCCUCCAGUGAGUCUUAGCAAUGUGUGAUGAUAUGGUGGAUGCUGAAAUGCACCACUCAGAUGCUCCUUCACGCUGCGAGUGCCGCCAGCAGACAAUCUUCAGCUGUUAGUCUUACUUCAGAAGCAGACAGUUCUAGAGAGCCAUCCCAUCUUCAGAACUCUAAGACGUCCUUUAAGACUCGAUCUCUCCCUCUGCCCCAACCUACAUCCUCUCCUUCCCUUCUACAGGCUCUGGUCCCAAGAGUAUUCCUCAUAAACCCCCUCCAUGCUAAUCUUUAUCUCCUAGGGAACCACUUUGCAACAGAUGGAAGGAACCUGAAUCCAGAUGAGAAGACUUGUUUGAGCCUGACACAUCCUGGCUGUGUUAUCUUGGACCAGACUUGGUCUUUAUUGCUGUGGUUGUUACCAGGCACCAUGCCUGGCACACAGAAGGCUCUCAACAAGUGCUUGUUGAUUCAGAUAAUGGGUGGAACUUUCUCUGGAAAUCUUUGUAAAACCCACACAAUUGUCGUUUGUUAUUAUUUAGAGUUGGAAAGGGAAAAAAACAAAGAUAAUUCCAGUGGAAAAAGGAAAGAUGGGACUAGAUUAAAAGCUGGAGAUCCUGGAGCAGAGAAAGCAGGGAAGAGGAGGCCAUAGUUGUCCAGAGGAGACGUAAUAAAGAUGAGAAGGAAACCAAGCACUCAGAAAAAAGAGAACUUGGGAAGAACAGAGGUGCAGAAACCAAAGGUGAAGAAGUGCACUGUAAACGGGCCAUCACUAGUGUGCAGCGCUUCAGAAAUGUCAAGAGAGCUAAGCAUGGCGUAAAGCAUCAGCUGUAAGCGCAACGCUCGCGUUCACUCUUGCACAAAUGUUUAAUUGGCCCUUAGGAGUCUACUUGGAAAGGGGGACCAGGAACACAUCUGUCUCCUUCACCACUGUGGACCCUGUGCUUAAGAAGCUGCUGGUGUCCAGUGGGCUUCUGACAACUAUUUAUUAUCGUUGAACAAUUCUUAGGUGUUUGAAAACAAAAUGGGUAGUUUAUUGUCACUACUGAAAUAAUAUGUUGGAAAAUCUGUGUGCCGCCAACUUCUGCCACACACACGGGAACACACACACCUACCUGCCCCCACUCUAUCUAGCCCAGUUGCUGAGUAUAAACAAAGCUGGUAUAUCAGAGUUGUUUUCCUAUGCACCAGCCUUGGAAAGGAACACCUAAGCCCCUCCCUACACUUAUUUGAGGCUUCUACACUCCUUCUGAACAUUAAUAAUUCUUUAAAGGGUAUGUAAAUGAACCACUAAUAAGACCGCAUGCUUCUAAAUUUAGUCAGGAAAGAUAUGUACGCGUUAUAGAAUAUAGAUGAAAGCUCUAAAGACACGUUUUGAAGGGUGUAUUAACCGGAUAUUGGAGGCAGUGGGAUUGUUUCAAAAUAAAACAACCCCCCUUUGAAGUGAGAGUACAUCAAAGCCAGUUCUUCUUACCUUUAAGAAUUUGGACUUUUCUUCUGAGUAAAGACUAUGAAUCCACAUGCCCAACUGGAUGGGUGAUCACAGCAUAGUCUCCUCUCCCCAUUCUGAACUAAUUGUGAUAGUCUGUCAUUUUACUAAGGAUGACUGUGACAUUUGGUGCAUCACCACACAAUGAUUGUUGAUCUCAGGGCUGGAAUGUGAGCUUUUUGAGGGUAGAGACUUUUUGUCUAAUCUCUGAUUUCUGAGCAUAUUGCACAUUACCUGUUUCACAGGAGACUUUAAAAGCAUGCUGAAGGGAGGACGAAGAGGAAAGGGAGGGACGGAUGGAGAAUGGAAGGGAGUCCGCUAAGACGGGUGGAACUCAUUCAGAGUUGUUGAAAUGCUGAACUCCUGCGGCCUUCAGUUAGCUUCCUGACGCCUAGAGUACUGGGGAUAGUGAGAAAGACACAAAAUGUGGACUCAGGAAACUCGGGUUUGUGUCCCAGCUCUACCACUUAGUGUGUGUAUGUCCUUAGAGGAGGCGCUUAAUCUCCAACCCUCAGUAUCCUCUUCUGUAAACUGGGGAUUAUUUUACCUUGAAGAGCUCUUGAGGGAUUAAGUGAAAUAGUACAUGGGAGAGCAUUCGGCAGACUAUUAAGUGCCAUGUAUGUUACUCAUAAUUAGUAUGACCCUGGAUUCAGUGCCAUCUUCAGCUGAACCCUCUGAUCUGUGUUUUAUUUGGCAAAACAUUGUAUUUGGAGAGAAUAUUUUGAAGGAGGGGAAAAGAUCUGAUCUUUUACUCAUUUUUUCUUCUCAUUUUAAAGAUUUUGCUAUCUUAUUUGCGUUGGAUAACUAUCAUUUUUAAAACUAUCUGGAGGCAACAGUGAUUCCAAACGUCAGCCAGUGGAAUCAGAAUCACUUGAGAGCUUUAUAAAAUGCAGAUUCCCAGGUCUCAACCCUGAGGGACUCUUCAAUUGUUCUGGAGCGGGGAUAGGGACUCUGUCGUCUGAAGAGCUGCCCAGAUCAGCCCUGAGCUAACAUCUGCCGCCAAUCCUCCUCUCCUUGCUGAGGAAGACUGGUCCUGAGCCGACAUCCAUGCCUAUCUUCCUCUACUGUAUAUGUGGGACACCUACCACAGCAUGGCUUGACAAGCAGUGCAUAGGUCCACACCCAGGAUCCAAACCAGCAAACCUUGGGCCGCCAAAGCCGAACAGGCAAACUUAACUUCUGUGCCACCAGCCAGCUCCUCACGGGGAUGUUUUUAUAUGAAAAUUAAUGUGAAAAAUUAAUGCUGUUUUGGAUUUCUUGGAAGAACUCAUACGCAUCCAUCAUCUUUUGGCUCAAGCAAGUAUUUCUCUCUGGGGUUACCAUCCAUCACAAAUCCUGUAAACAAAAAAAAGUCCUUUGAAAUUUCAUACAUGGCUGGUGGGAAUAUAAAUUGGUACAACCACUUUGGAGAACUGUUUAGGAGUUCUUGCAAAGCUGAAUAUUUGCAUAUCCUAUUUCACCCCUUCACACACACCCAACAGAAAUGCAUACAUAAGUUUACCAAAGACAUGUACUAGAAUGUUCAUAGUCACACUGAUCAUAAUAACUUAAAACCGUAAACUGCUCAAAUAAUCAUCCACAGCAGAAUGGAUAAAUAAAUCAUAAUAUCUUCACACAAUAGAAUACUAUACAGCAAAGAAAGUGAAUUAUCUACAAUUAUAUGCAAAAGUAGAUGAAUUUCACACUCCUGAGUUUGGAUUAAAGAAGCUAAACUUCAAUUAAAAGUUGAAAUCAACCCCAAGGAUGUAUAUGCGAAGUGUAGCUGUUGAUGCUCACCAAGGGCAAGCUGGCAUUUAUUUAUAGAAGGACCCCUUUUCUUUUUAAAAAGGUGCGAGAAGAUCCCACACACUGUAACCCCUGAACACUCUUUUCCUGACUCACCAUUUUGGUUGUCUUUAGAGAAGUUUGACAAAAAAAUGCCUGAAAAAAGAUUUACCCGUAAGGUGUAUUUUACAAAAGUUUUAUGAGUUGAGAUAAUUUAACUAGGCCUUCGAAAAUGAAGGAACAUGUUAGCUUCAUGUUCAUAGCAACUUUCUGUUCACCUCAAAACCUGCCUUGAACAGAGCUCGGAAAGAAAUGCUGCUGAACUGGCCAGCUGAGCGAGGUGUUCAGAAACGACUUCAGAAAAAAUUGUGCAUUUCAAAGCAUUUGAAAAAAGUAUAGCCUUAUUGCUGUGUACAUGGUUUUAAAAAUUCCUUCUUAAAACGGCUUUCUUUCUUAUAAAAAUUAUGUGAUGUAUGUUCAUUUUUAAGUCAAUCGAUACAGAACAGUACAAAGCAGAAAUCAACACAUUAAAUAAAACGCAUUAAAUAAAAUAAGGGUCAAUGCCGCCUCCCAAGUAACUGUUACUGGUGUGAAGUGAGUAUCUUCCAGCCAGGCUCUAGAUAGAGAUUAUUUUGUCAACGUGGUGCAAACUUAAACCAAAAACAAAUUACAAAGGAAAAUUGUUUGGAAAAUUUCCAUUCAUAUCUGUGGUGAAGGAGAGAGAGGAACACGUGCUUUGGGAGACGGUAAAACAGCCUCUUUCUGGUCAUUCUUUGGAUGAGAUGAGCUCUGAUAACGAAAUAGUUGGAAUUCUAAGGCAAAUAGUGCCUUUCUGAUCAAGCGUGGGCCUGAGGGGGGAGGCCCGAUGGAAAGGACAGGAACAGCCUCUAGUCCCCUGUGGGGACUUUCUGAGUGAAAGAUGGAACCAAGAUGCAGACCAUCACAGAGCAAAAGAAGGGACAAGCAGGUACGACCCAGAGUUACUGCCAAAGCAACAAACUGCGGGGCUGAGGAGACGAGCACACGGGAACAGCAAGGGGACUGGGAUAGCGAAGACGUGGAAGCUUUGAAAAAUGUUCCUGGAGCUGGUCAAAGGAAAGAAAUAGAACAAAAUAGUGUCUCAUUGGUCUAAACACUCUUAAUUAAAAUCUUUUCAGUUUCUUCUAUAUUUUUAAGAGGCGACGUCUUGCGAUUGCAGAUUAAAUGUGCUAAUUCUUAGACUCUACCUACUUAGUAAAUCUAGUCUAAGUAAGCUGAGCACGAAAAUAAACUUCUUAUUUGUUGCAUGGCUCCUUCUGUAAAAGUUUAGCAAAAUUUUCACAAAAUGAGGGUUGAUUUAACUGAGGGGGCAGUAAGGCACAAAUCUGGCCUUUCCAGCAGUCUGAGAUGCUGCCUGUCUGACUCAGGGGACUGACUUUAUCACUCACUAGCCUAAGGGAGCCAAGGACACUCCGAGAUUGAGAAAGGAAACAUUCUCCCCUGCCCCGCAGCUUUUCGAGGAUAAAGGCUUCCAGACUGCAGCCAGCAGAGCAGCAAGCCCUUAAAACUUGGUCCAACUUUCCUUGGUUCUCACUUGCAUAUUAAAAUCUCAAAUUGAUGUCCGCCUUUAAUACCAUUCUCUCUGGUUAAUGAUGGAGAGCAGACCCAAGCCAUUGACAGCCCACUGUCAUGGAGCAUGCCCUGGUCCAUGAGCUUGACCUGGAUUAGCUGUUGGCACUCAUAAUUCUCUAUAAGGCAAGCACUAUUAUUAUCCCCAUUUUACAGAUGAGGACAUGGAGGCAGAGAGAAGUUAAGCUACCUGCCCAAGGUCACAGAGCUAGUAUGUGAGGCUCCAGUGUAUACUCUGAGCAAAGGGCCCAGUGCCAAAAACCUGACUCAUGAAGACUGGGGGCAACUAAAGUUAGGACGUGGACCAAAUUUCCUUAAAACAAGCCAGUGUCCCUGCUGUAAGCUAAUUAUUUCAAGUGGCUUUGGAGUCACAAAAUCCCACAGUAAACCCCCUCCGGCAGUGUAUUAUACUGGCUGCUGGCCUCCUGACCUUGCCCCACAGUGUGUACUCAGCUCCUUUGCAGGAAGUGAGAGGUGUACACGUGCAUGAGUGUGUGUGUGAAGAGUGUGCAUGCGACUAUGUGUGAGUGAAUGCAUGUGAGUGUGUGGGUAUGAAUUCAUGUAAGUGGAGGGAUUGCGACUAUGUGAGUGCGUCUGUGAGUGUGUGUGGGAGUGAUGUAUGUGAAUGUGUGUAUGUGCGUGUGUGAGUGAGUGAGAGUGUGAAUGAGUGUGUGAGUGAAUGUAUUGAAGGUGGAUGUGUGUGGAUGUAUGUGAGUGUGUCUGAGUGAAUGUGUACACAUGUGUGGGAAUAUGGGUAUGAAUGCAUAUGCAUGUAUGUGUGUGUGCAUGCUAAUGUGAAUGUCUGAGUGUGUACCUGUGUGUGUCUGAAUGAAAAUGUGUGUAUGUUUGAGUGAUACAGGUGAGUGUGCUUGUGUGUUCGUGUUGCAUGUGUGUGUGUGAAAGUGUGAGUCUGUGUGCUGCUCCCAACUUCCUUUACUGGCAGCAAGAUCAAGUGAUCUGUGAGCUCUGCCCUCUGAUGAGAAAGCUUGAGGAAGUUGCCCAAGGACAGCUCCAGCCACGGAAAAGAGAGGACGUCAGCUCCGCGCCACUGGGAGAAGUUGCCAAGUGGACUCUGAUAGGCGGGACGUAGCAACCCCAGUCUGCCCUGCUGGCCCAGCUGCCUGGACCGCUCUGUGAAAUCAGCCCUUCGCUUUCCAGGAGGAAAGUAGAAAAGUCUCCAUUACGCAACAAACCCAAUUUGGAGCUGAAAAUUCUGACUGAGUGAAUUAGGCCAUGUUACAAAUGAAAGACUACACCUUCAGUGUGAGUUAAUUGCCCAGCUUUUCAAGAACCAGAAAACGAAAUAAAGAAAGGAACUCUCAACAGGGAGGCCACCAUGUCACUGAGGAGAACCGAGUCAGAACAAUGACUGAGUGGCUGGCCGAGGCCACCUGCCUUAGAGGCGGGAAUUGAGUCAAUAAAGGCACUAAACAAACAGUUGGGCUUCAGUGUUCCAAAUCAGUUUGUACAGUGGUUAAAGCUUGUGGGCCGAGGAGCACUGAAAGCCUGCACACAUCCUCUGUUAAAUCUGAGCCAAUCUCCCGGGCUGGUGCUUUGUUUACUCAGUGUCUUUCAUUGCAAAAUGGCUGCCCCAUUAGGGUCAUAAGCUGAGCUGGGUGGAGCAGGGCACAGAGAAGGCUCAGGCGGUGGGGAUGGUGUCUGCAUCCACAGCUGUGCUGGCUCCCCUGCCUGCAGGAGAAAGUGGUGGCUGCAUAUUCCUCACCGAGAGAGGGGCUUGGGGUCCCAUAACCUGAAUAAAGCAGAAGCCUCAGGUGAACAGAACAAAAUGGAAGGAAAAAAGGCAUAAAACACACCCUGUCAGUUAGAGAAUGUCUUGGAAACAGCCUUGAAGAUUCAAGCUCCAAGGUGAGAAAAGGACCUAAGAGCAAGGAGGGUGACUGGAAGACUGGAAGGGACUUCACUCUUCUCCAAAAGCAG